CCACCUCUACUGUGUUCUACGCCU
rnacentral:siRNA from 1 species